UACGAAGGGGGCUAGCGUUGUUCGGAAUUACUGGGCGUAAAGCGCGCGUAGGCGGUGAUCUUUGUCAGAGGUGAAAGCCUGGGGCUCAACUCCAGAAUUGCCUUUGAAACGGGAUCGCUUGAGUCCGAGAGAGGAUGGCGGAAUUCCUAGUGUAGAGGUGAAAUUCGUAGAUAUUAGGAAGAACACCGGUGGCGAAGGCGGCCAAUCUC
rnacentral:rRNA from 1 species